AAUACACCGUGUAAUUUCAGCGUCGAUGAAUAAACGCAGUUUUAGGUCAUUCCAAGUUGUUCGUCUAUUAAGAUCGGAGAGCAUCAGCGGGGCGUGUGUCAAGUCUGCCAUUUGUCAUGGAGGAUAAAUCAACAAUGGAGGGUCUCAUUGCUGGGAUGGUGAUCGCGAUUCUCGUCAUUCUGGUCCUCCUGUGCUACAUCAAACGACGACAGAUUCUAAAUAUUCUCCACUGUCGAACAGACAGCGGCUCGGACAGCAAAUACACGAACAUCGGGAAGCAUAAGAAGGUUCCAAACACUGCGGAAGAUGCGCUUUAAAAAACCCAUUUUGGUCCUGGUCUAAGCGGUGGAUCACACAAUAAGUAGGCAUACAUGAAAGUUAGAAAAUACAAGAAGCUUCCAAACACUGCGGACGAUGCACUUUCAUAUCAUGAUUUUGUUCUUGUUCUGGACUAAACAGUGGGUCAAACAAUAACGUACAUGAAAGUAAGAAAAUAUAACAAGGUUCCAAACAGAGCGGAAGGCAUGCAGGUGUUAAAAUCAAUUAAUUUUGUUCUUGAUGUAGACUAAAAAAUGGAUUAAACAAUAAAUACACAAAAGUUAAAACAACACAAGAGGUUUCCAAACAGCAGAACACGUAUUUUAAUAUCAGUCCAUUGUGUUACAGGGGCGUGCGCAGGAAAUUUUGCAGGGGUGGGGGGGGGGGGGGGGGGUCGAGGUGUCUGGCGAAGCCCGAUAACAUCUCAGUACUUCCAUAUCCAUUCACAGGAAUGUAAAAAAUCGUGAUAUGAAAAAAAAAUUCGCCAGAAGCCCAGAAAGACUACAUAUAUAGUAUCGUGAUAUGUAUAUUAAAGAGAUCAUGUUAUA